rnacentral:rRNA from 1 species
UUAUGAUUACCCUGAACGGGGGAUCACUUGGCUCGU